rnacentral:lncRNA from 1 species
UUUUUUAAUAUUUUAAGCACAUUUUUAGAAAUCUUGCUUUUGGUUCUGACCAUUGUUCUAAAGUCAAAGUUUUAUAAUUUAAAAAAAAAAAAAAACUCAAAACAUGAUUCAUCAAGGAAAAAAGCAUCACCAAGGGGGAAAGAAAACAUGUUCUAAUCUUAGAGAAAGCAAAUGUUAGGGUUAUAAUAGCUGUGUCUUACAUUGGAUGUUGUAUUAGAGACCUCCUCACAGGAAAUGAUAUAGUUCUAGCACCCUUAGCAUAGAGUUCCUAGCCUGGCGUCCAUAGCUACAGUUUUACAGUGUAUAACCUGAGAAUGAAGUUAAUUUUGCAUUGUAAGAGCACACCAUUAUCUGUGUAAAAAGUGUUCAUUUGCUGUAUUUUUUUAAGAAAAGAGAAAGCACUUUCAUAUUAAGUAGCAUGUGUGUGAACUUUAGACUUCCUCUGUGUGUCUAGUCAGUGAAGUUCAAGGAGCAUCGAUGUCUGCUGGCGACGUUAACUGCUAACGGAAGCACCUUAUCCUCUGCUGCUUACCCUUGCUUGGAUUGCACCUUUGUUACCUGCACACUUUCACAUAGAGUAUUGUAACACGGCUUCGAGUGGGUCUGGGCGGACGGCUAGUGGUGGGCCUACAGGAUCUUUUAUUUAUGUUGUUUAUAUUACAAUAAUAUAUUGUAGACCAGUUGUAACUUCAGUUCUUUACAAAUAAAAGCCUGACUGGUUAUUGAAUUUUUAUUUCUUUAAGCUUUUGAGAGACAGGGAAAGCUAAUAAAGACCUUAAUGG